rnacentral:rRNA from 1 species
UACAGAGGGUGCGAGCGUUAAUCGGAAUUACUGGGCGUAAAGCGUGCGUAGACGGUUAUUUAAGUCAGAUGUGAAAGCCCCGGGCUCAACCUGGGAAUCGCAUUUGAGACUGAAUAGCUAGGGUGCGGUAGAGGGAAGCGGAAUUUCCGGUGUAGCGGUGAAAUGCGUAGAUAUCAAGAGGAACACCUGCGGCGAAGGCGGGUUGCUGGGCCGACACUGACGCUGAAGCGCGAAAGCUAGGGGAGCGAACGGG